UGUCACCUCCAGUUUCCAUUUUAAAUUGUAAAAUUUCCAAAUUUGGAGACAAGCAGAUAUUUUUCUCAUCUUGAAAAGGAGGAGCGAGCGUUAGCUAGCUGAUUAGCCGUAGGUGGGAAACGAACCAUCUCUAAUAAAAACAGUAACUUUUAGAGAAACUCUGGGGAAGUUCUGUAGUCCCACCCUGCCCCGUGACCUUUCAUUCUCUUAGUUCUUCUGCCACAGAGAAGCACCGAUCGACUAAUAAAAGAUUUGAUCUUGCUAUAAUUUCCCAAGCAGGGCAGAGUAUUGGAGAGAAUGAAGCCAAACUAUGCCAGAAGUUUCUCCUUGCAUCACUGGUAACUCUUAAACUGCAUGUACCCAAGAUAAGACCUUGUGAGACCUAGGAACAAUGUUUUCUAUGAAGUUGAGAGUAAAGCAGAAACUUCAGAAAUCGCAUGUAUCGGAAAGACAAUGAAGAUCAGCUCCAGUGAGUAGAGACCAUGAUGAACAGCCUAAAUAUUAAAGUGAGAUCCCAGAAAGGUCAUUCUGUAUGAUUAAGGGCUAGACACUAGAAGUAAGGGAAAUAGAACCGCUAUAUCAAAUUCAUAAACCAAACUUUGACAGCAUCAAUGUGAUCUACCAGCAAUUGAUUUACCACCCAGAAUAAAAAAAAACACACUCUUUACUAGAAAAUAACAUAAGCCAGAAUUCUAACACAUAACAUUAACAAUGCCUAGCAUACAAUUUAAAAAGAACCAAGUGAAUAGUCUAUAACUGCAAAAUAUAUCUGAU
rnacentral:lncRNA from 1 species